AUUGAGCUUAUAAUUUUAUUGUUGUUUUGUAAUUAUUUAUGUGAUGAUAGAUAAAUUUUAAUUGGGGUGAUUGAGGAAUAAGGUAAUAGUAGUAACUUCCUUAGAAAUAAAUGUUGUUGGGUGAAGUAACCAAUAUAUUAUUGCUUAUAAUAU
rnacentral:rRNA from 1 species